AACUUUCAACAAUGGAUCACUUGGUUCUGGCAUCGAUGAAGAACGCAGCGAAAUGCGGUAAGUAAUGUGAAUUGCAGAAUUCAGUGAAUCAUCGAAUCUUUGAACGCACAUUGCGCCCGCCAGUAUUCUGGCGGGCAUGCCUGUUCGAGCGUCAUUUCAACCCUCAAGCCCCGGGCUUGGUGUUGGGGAUCGGCGUGCCCUCGCGGCGCGCCGUCCCCUAAAUCUAGUGGCGGUCUCGCUGUAGCUUCCUCUGCGUAGUAGCAACACUCGCACUGGAUCGCAGCGCGGCCACGCCGUUAAACCCCCCACUUCUGAAAGUUUGACCUCGGAUCAGGUAGGAAUACCCGCUGAACUUAAGCAUAUCAAUAAGCGGAGGCU
rnacentral:misc_RNA from 1 species